rnacentral:lncRNA from 1 species
UACACAUUAGUCAAUUGUACAAAUCAAUGGACAAAGUUAUAAACAUAAUACAUAGGAAAAAACUUUUGCUUCAAUUUACACCCAAAGAAAACACAAAAUAUAUAAAAACAAUCAAAAAUCAAACCAAUUAUAUAGAAAAUACAUCUCAAUUGAAGCUGUCACAGGAACAGCCCCUAACACCCUUGUCUUCUACGUUUCCUGUUAAUAAGCCUCCAUAUUUCCUUUCAUCCUACAUCGACAAGAAUACUCUUGUUCUUGACUUCGGGUAUACCAGCAAACAGGAAUAACAACAUCACGAUUUUGUUUACUUUUCCUUCCCUGUCAAAUGAAACAAACCCAAAUUCCCUUCAUUAUCAUUGAUUUCCCAGCAAACCCAAACACCCCAAUGAUUUCUAUCAAACAAACAAACAAAAUCCCAAAAGUAUUUUUUUACCGGUGGUCGAUUCAGAACUGCCAAAACAAUGGGAAAACAUCGUGAUUUUCGAGCAAACACCACCGAGAUCCUCACCUGCGACGAAUGGCUGCCGACCGGACUCCGAUCAGACCCCCUUUCCCCUCGUUUUCUUCCUCUGCUUUUCCCAUCGACCACAGAGAUCAGAUGGCCUCGUCUUCACUACUACCGCUUCUUGCAACGCCCGGACCUCACACCUCGCAUCCGGAAGUGACGAGCAAAACUUCGCUGCUUCUUCACGCCCUCCGUCUCUUCAGUCUCGUCGACCCGGAGACUACUCCCUCUUCGCGAAUCGACCGACGAAGCACCGCCUGCGAGCUUCAUUCUCCUUCGGUCUUCUUUGUGGUCUGCGACGAGCAAGGACCGGAUGCAGAGCCGCGACCUCGUGCUUUCCUUCUCGCCAUUUUUGUUCAUCUGCCUUCGUGUUCAUUUUCCCUCACGUCGCCUUCAUCCAUUCGUAUCCCCUUUUCUUUCAUUGCCCGAUCAAACGACGAACAGGGGGGAUUAAAAAGCCCUAAGUCAUUUUAAUUAGAAAAUGACCAAAAUGCCCUCCUUAUUAAACCAUGUCUUCAAAAUCCGUCCCAACCCCAAACAAUGAACCCAUUUGGUUAAAACAACCACUGAAUUGGUAAAUUUUUUUUUUACCAAAACAAUCAUAUUCGUUAAAUUAAACUACCAAACAG